rnacentral:rRNA from 1 species
GGAAUAUUGGUCAAUGGGCGAGAGCCUGAACCAGCCAAGUAGCGUGCAGGAUGACUGCCCUAUGGGUUGUAAACUGCUUUUAUGCGGGAAUAAAGUCAGGUACGCGUACCUGUUUGUAUGUACCGCAUGAAUAAGGACCGGCUAAUUCCGUGCCAGCAGCCGCGGUAAUACGGAAGGUCCGGGCGUUAUCCGGAUUUAUUGGGUUUAAAGGGAGCGCAGGCGGAAGAUUAAGCGUGACGUGAAAUGUCCCGGCUCAACCGUGGAACUGCGUCGCGAACUUGUUUUCUUGAGUGAGUGCGAGGUAUGCGGAAUUCGUGGUGUAGCGGUGAAAUGCUUAGAUAUCACGAAGAACCCCGAUUGCGAAGGCAGCGUACCAGCCCUUAACUGACGCUAAAGCUCGAAAGUGCGGGUAUCGAACA